GACGAACGCUGGCGGCGUGCUUAACACAUGCAAGUCGAACGGAAAGGCCCUGCUUUUGUGUGGUGCUCUAGUGGCGAACGGGUGAGUAACACGUGAGUAACCUGCCCUUUACUUUGGGAUAACUUCAGGAAACUGUGGCUAAUACCUGAUAGGAGCUCCUGCCGCAUGUUGGGGGUUGGAAAGUUUCGGCGGUUGGGGAUUGACUCGCGGCUUAUCAGCUUGUUGGUGGGGUAGUGGCUUACCAAGGCUUUGACGGGUAGCCGGCCUGAGAGGGUGACCGGACAAAUUGGGACUGAGAGACGGCACAGACUGCUACGGGAGGAAGCAGUGGGGAAGAUGGCAAAAUGGGCGGAAGCCUGAUGCAGCAAAGCCGCGUGCGGGAUGACGGCCUUAGGGUUGUAAACCGCUUUCGCCUGUGACGAAGCGUGAGUGACGGUAAUGGGUAAAGAAGGACCGGCUAACUACGUG
rnacentral:rRNA from 1 species